UACGUAGGGGGCGAGCGUUGUCCGGAUUUAUUGGGCGUAAAGAGCGUGUAGGCGGCCAGGUAGGUCUGCUGUGAAAACCCGAGGCUCAACCUCGGGCCUGCAGUGGGUACGGGCAGACUAGAGUGCGGUAGGGGAGAUUGGAAUUCCUGGUGUAGCGGUGGAAUGCGCAGAUAUCAGGAGGAACACCAAUGGCGAAGGCAGAUCUCUGGGCCGUAACUGACGCUGAGGAGCGAAAGCAUGGGGAGCGAACAGG
rnacentral:rRNA from 1 species